AUUGAACGCUGGCGGCAGGCUUAACACAUGCAAGUCGAGCGCGCGGCGGACGGGUGAGUAAUGUCUGGGAAACUGCCUGAUGGAGGGGGAUAACUACUGGAAACGGUAGCUAAUACCGCAUACCAUCAGAUGUGCCCAGAUGGGCUUAGCUAGUAGGUGGGGUAUUGGCUCACCUAGGCGACGAUCCCUAGCUGCUCUGAGAGGAUGACCAGCCGCACUGGAACUGAGACACGGUCCAGACUCCGACGGGAGGCAGCAGUGGGGAAUAUUGCACAAUGGGCGCAAGUCUGAUGCAGCCAUGCCGCGUGUAUGAAGAAGGCCUUAGGGUUGUAAAGUACUUUCAGCGGGGAGGCGUUACCCGCAGAAGAAGCACCGGCUAACUCCGUGCCAGCAGCCGCGGUAAUAC
rnacentral:rRNA from 1 species